rnacentral:rRNA from 1 species
AUUGAACGCUGGCGGCAGGCCUAACACAUGCCAGUCGAACGGUAACAGGAAGAAGCUUGCUUCUUUGCUGACGAGUGGCGGACGGGUGAGUAAUGUCUGGGAAACUGCCUGAUGGAGGGGGAUAACUACUGGAAACGGUAGCUAAUACCGCAUAACGUCGCAAGACCAAAGAGGGGGACCUUCGGGCCUCUUGCCAUCGGAUGUGCCCAGAUGGGAUUAGCUAGUAGGUGGGGUAACGGCUCACCUAGGCGACGAUCCCUAGCUGGUCUGAGAGGAUGACCAGCCACACUGGAACUGAGACACGGUCCAGACUCCUACGGGAGGCAGCAGUGGGGAAUAUUGCACAAUGGGCGCAAGCCUGAUGCAGCCAUGCUGCGUGUAUGAAGAAGGCCUUCGGGUUGUAAAGUACUUUCAGCGGGGAGGAAGGGAGUAAAGUUAAUACCUUUGCUCAUUGACGUUACCCGCAGAAGAAGCACCGGCUAACUCCGUG